rnacentral:rRNA from 1 species
UGGGGAAUUUUGGACAAUGGGGGAAACCCUGAUCCAGCCAUCCCGCGUGUGCGAUGAAGGCCUUCGGGUUGUAAAGCACUUUUGUCAGGAAAGAAACGUCAUGGGUUAAUACCCCGUGAAACUGACGGUACCUGCAGAAUAAGCACCGGCUAACUACGUGCCAGCAGCCGCGGUAAUACGUAGGGUGCAAGCGUUAAUCGGAAUUACUGGGCGUAACGCGUGCGCAGGCGGUUCGGAAAGAAAGAUGUGAAAUCCCAGAGCUCAACUUUGGAACUGCAUUUUUAACUACCGGGCUAGAGUGUGUCAGAGGGAGGUGGAAUUCCGCGUGUAGCAGUGAAAUGCGUAGAUGUGCGGAGGAACACCGAUGGCGAAGGCAGCCUCCUGGGAUAACACUGACGCUCAUGCACGAAAGCGUGGGGAGCAAACAGG